AGACUUAAAGGAAUUGACGGGGGCCCGGCACAAGCGGAGGAGCAUGUGGUUUAAUUCGAUGAUACGCGAGGAACCUUACCUGGGCUUAAAUGCUUAAUGACGUACUGGGAAACUGGUAUUUCUUCGGACAUUUUGCAAGGUGCUGCAUGGUUGUCGUCAGCUCGUGCCGUGAGGUGUCGGGUUAAGUCCCAUAACGAGCGCAACCCCUAUUGUUAGUUGCCAUCAGGUCAUGCUGGGGACUCUAACAAAACUGCCCGCGUAAGCGUGGAGGAAGGUGGGGAUGACGUCAAAUCAGCACGGCCCUUACGUCCAGGGCUACACACGUGCUACAAUGGCCGGUACAGAGGGCAGCCACUUGGUGACAAGGAGCAAAUCUCAAAAGCCGGUCUCAGUUCGGAUCGGAGUCUGCAACUCGACUCCGUGAAGUUGGAUUCGCUAGUAAUCGUAGAUCAGCAAUGCUACGGUGAAUACGUUCCCGGGCCUU
rnacentral:rRNA from 1 species